ACCCAGUCUCCAUCCUCCCUGUCUGCAUCUGUAGGAGACAGAGUCACCAUCACUUGCCGGGCGAGUCAGGGCAUUAGCAAUUAUUUAGCCUGGUAUCAGCAGAAACCAGGGAAAGUUCCUAAGCUCCUGAUCUAUGCUGCAUCCACUUUGCAAUCAGGGGUCCCAUCUCGGUUCAGUGGCAGUGGAUCUGGGACAGAUUUCACUCUCACCAUCAGCAGCCUGCAGCCUGAAGAUGUUGCAACUUAUUACUGUCAAAAGUAUAACAGUGCCCCUC
rnacentral:lncRNA from 1 species